AUAUUUGUCUGAAUGCCAUUGAUUUUUUGCCUAAUUGUUAUUCACUAUGCUAAUUUCCCCCACAAAUCUCACAUUCUAUUGAUCAAAAAGUAAUAAACUCUCCAACAAACAAAACAAGCAUUAUUGCAAUGUUGGGAAAACAUCAGUUAAUAUCAAUACCAUAUUUACAAUUAUCUUUAGCCUAAAUUUUACCCAUGAUGCAAUGCAUAAGCAGCUUCAGAGACCUAUAGGCUAAAGGAGCAUGUGAACAAUCCUAUUUACUCUUUUUCUGACAGAGCAAGAGGAGGCAAGUGCAACCAAGGAUCACCCAAAGAUGUCCAGUAAGGAACUGAUGGUUAGAAUAAAUGUCAUUAUUCCAAUGGAGGAAGCCAUCACCUGCUGGUUUCCCUCUUUCUGUUUCUCUCUCCAGUUUAAGGCAUGGUAUUAAUCAUCACGGGAAGUGCAAAGGUGAGCAAAGCUAUCUUUCACUGUGCUCCAAAAUUAAUGUUUCCUUGAAAAGAAAAAGAAUAUAAUUAUUCAGCAGGAGCUUACAACAUUGUCAAUUCUGCUUACUCAUUGCACAUCACCAGGCCACCACUGUGGGUGUCAUUGUCUUGUCUGCUCAACGUUCCUUCCCCUGGGAUGCUAACAACAUCCUCCUUCUUUUGGACAGUUGCUACUCCUCACAUUGCAACCAUUGAUUGCAGGAGAGCUGCCAAUCAUAGGACUCCACCUACAUGGCUGUGUUUCAUUGGUCCAGGGUGGGUCCUCUCAUCAAGCCCUCCCAAACAGCACCAUCCUCGAGACUUUCAAAUUGGAAGUGAGAAUAACAGAGAUAUAAGAUGAAGGCAUGAGAACUACCGAGGAUUGUGAUUCCAGCCAAAUGGAGGAAGCCAAUCUGAAAAAAAUAAUGCUGAUAAACAAAGAAGCAUAGAAAAGCAAUGCAAGUUUGGAGUCCUGGAGACGUUCAAGACACUCAUUCCUACUGACUCUAGGCCUGGUUGAAAAACCGUUUACAUACACUGAUAGUCUAAACUCAGUUUCUUUUUUAUCGCUUACCAUAAAAAGAGCCCUGUCAGAGUUCUUGCUGUGAUUCAGCCAUAACAAACCCGACUAGCAUCCAUGAGAAUUCAGGUUCAAUCCCUGGCCUCACUCAUUGGGUUUAAAGCUCUGGUGUUGCCAUGAGCUGUGGUGUGGGUUGCAGAUGCAGCUCAGAUCUGGCAGCUGCAGCUCCGAUUUGAUUCCAGCCUGGGAACGUCCACGUGCCCAUAUGUUGUAGGUGCAGCCCUAAAAAGCCCUGUCUAAUACAGGCCUAUCAUGAGAUAAAGGAAAUCAAGGCAGAUGACUCAACAGGCCUGAGAAAGAGAAAGAUGGUCCAGUACAGAUGGCUAUUUCUAAGACGUGGGCAUCAGAGGUUAGAGGGAAGGGACGAGUGAGAUUUGGUGAUGGACCCACCCAGACAAUGACACCUUGGUCUUGUUUCAAUGGCAACUUCUUUUUUCAGAUGAGGACUGGUCCUGAAAAAGGAGACUGGAAGCUUUGGAGCUGGACUGAGCCUGGUCGUAGUAAAGAAUUUUCCCUAUCAUCCACCAGUCUCGGCACCACACCUGAAAUGUGAGAUACCUGAUGUACUGAGAAAAGAUGUCAUUUAUUGUUCUGUUGUGCUUUGAAUGAAGCAAUUGUGGAGGCUUUUCCCAAGGUGCUCCCAUGUCUCACAGGACUCUGUCUCUGCAGUUUGGGUUCUACGAUGGCCAAACCAAGUCCUCCAGACUUGAGUCCCUGUGUUUCCUUCAGGAAACUACACUGAUCCCACUAGAGCAAGAAUGGGCUUUGGAGACCCUGGAUUUGGGUUGAAAUUGCAGUUCUCAAACAUUCUGGAUGUGUAGCCUUGGGCAAGUUAUAGAAUCUUUCUAAGCUUCAGUUUUAUGUGGAAGAUAAUAUCAUGCUUGUGGAUCAGACAUUCACUAAUGUCCAGAAUAAUAGUGCUGGCUGAAGCUCUGUGGGCAAGAUAACCUAGAGGGAAUGAGAACCUAUUCCUGUUACUAUGAACUUUUGUUCCUUCUAUGAUAGAAGGGGAUAAGUAUAGUUACUAAUUCUGGGUGGUGUGGUAUGUGAUCAGUAGAUCACAUGGUCAUGGGAAUAUUCUUGCACCACGUGGUUUGCUGGAAUCCAUCAAGAAUAGUGCCAAAAUAAGGGCUCAGUGUUGGGCAUUCAGACUGCUGAUAUGUUGGGCAUUCAGACAGAGCAUGAACAAGAUGAGCCUUAGUAAGUGGGAGUUCAGACUGCCAAGACCCUUUGCAGCUUCCACCCCUGCCCUCAUGAGCCCUUGUACACAUGUGUGCCAGUUCCAAGAUGGCCAAUGAUCAAGGCUGGCUAAUAUCAACUGGCCAAGUCAUUUUGUCUACUUGGCUGUCCAGUUUAUGGCAUGGUGAAUAUUUUGACAAAUGUAAAUACAAAAAUCUUCAACUUGUGAUACAAAAAUCUUCAACUUUGGACCCACUGCCUUAUAUUCCUCUACAUGCCUUUAUCCAGACAUCCUAGACUUUGGUUUUUCCAGUGAGCUUUAUGUUUGCUCCACAUAUGAAAUAUUGGAUUUAUGCACAUUUAAUUAUAUUGUCAUGGGGUGGCGAUACCCAUUUCUAGUUUAGCAUCAGACCCAAAAAUCAUAAAGAUUCACAAAUUUGAUCAUGAGAAAUUAAAGGUUCAUAUGGACCAUGCUCAAAAAUAAAAUGUUACAUGAAACUUAGAGAAGUAUGUACAAGAUUUAUGACAGAAAAAUAAUUAAUAUUCUUAAUCAAUAAAGAGAUUAUACAAAUCAAUUUUUAAAUGAACAUUCAAAUAGAAAACAUGGGAAAGAGCAUCAACAGGCAAUUCCCAAAGAUAUUCAAGGGCAAGACACAGAGGAAAAAUUCUCCAUCUCAGCAACAGUCAAAGAAAUGCAAAUUUAAACAGCAGCAUAGUUUUUGUGGCCGUCAAAUAGUCAAAGAAGUAAAAAGAUCAAUUAUUAUCCACUAUUGCUGAGGAUACUGGGAAAUGUGCACUUCUAAUUAUGGUGGAAAUAUGACUUUGAACAAUCUUUCUGAAGCACAACUUACCAAUAUGAGUCAAAAUUAAAUGUUCAUACAUCUAACGCCAGCCAUCAACCUUCUGGGACCUCAUUCUAAGGUAAUGAUCAGGCAAUUGCAUAAAGAUGUUCAUACAUGGAUAUUCGCAUGAGGGUUGUUUCUAACAGAAAAAAUGGAAAAAACCUGGAGGUUUACCUAUAAGAUGUCAAAUAAAUUAUUGCAUUCAAAAAAAUUAUGUAGCUUUUGAAAUAAAUGCAAUAGAGCUAUAGAUAUUGACAUGGAGAUGUAAUAAUACUGGGGCAAGAAGAUAUAGAGGAAAUUAAAGAUUCUGCGUGUGUGUGACAGUAUAUGUGGGCACAGGCAAAAGAAAACUCUGGGAGGCUAUACCCCAAAAUAUUAAUAGUACUUAUGGCUGUUAGGUGUGAUUAUUUUUACAUAUCCGCAUUUAAAAUUUCACAAUUAGGCCCUUUUUUAGUUCUCCUUAAAUUUUAUUUAAUUGUGGGCAUUCCCAUCGUGGCUCAGGCGUAAUGAACCUGACUAGCAUCCAUGAGGACACAGGUUUGAUCCCUGGCCUCACUCCGUGGGUUAAAGAUUUGGCGACGCUGUGAACUGUGGUGUAGGUGGCAGAUGCAGCUCAGAACCUGCAUUGUUGUGGCUGUGGUGUAGGCCAGCAGCUGCAGCUCAGAUUAGACCCCUAGCCUGAGAACUUCCAUAUGCUGUGAGUGUGGCCCUAAAAAGCAAAAAGAAAAAAAAUGUAGUUAGAAUAUUUAACAUGGGCUCUGCCCUCAACCAAAUUUAAUCGUUCAUUGUUGCUGACUAUGGAUACAAUGUUGUGCAGAAGGUCUGUAGAGCUCCUUUAUCUUGCAUAACUUAAACUGUAUGUUUGUUGAUUAGUAACUUCCCAUUUCCCCUUCCUUCCAGCCCCUGGCAAUCACUAACCCAUUUUUGAUUCUAUGGAUUUGACUAUUUGACAUGCCUACUGUAAGUGGAAUCAUGCAGUAUUUGUCCUUCUAACUGGCUUAUUUCCCUCAUCACAAUAUUCUUAAGGUUUAUCCAUACUGCCUUAUAUUGCAUAAUUUUCCUCUUUUUUAAGACUGAAUAGUAUUCCACUGUAUGUAUAUAACACAUUUUCCUUAUCUACAGAUCUGCCGUUGGACAUUAAGUUGUUUCCGAAUCUUGGCUACUGUGAAUGAUUUUGCAAUAAACCUACGACUGCUUCUAUCCUUUCAAGAUCCUAAUUUCAAUUCUUUCAGAUAAAUGCCCAGAAGUGGGGUUGCUGAAUCUUAUGAUAGUUCUAUGUUUAAUCUUCAGGGAACUUCCAUUCUGUUUUCCAUAACAGCUGCACCAUUGCACAUCCCCACAAACAGUGUGCAAAUGUUUAAAUUUCUCCACAUCCUCCCCAAUACUUAUAACCUUUUGCUUUUUGUUUAUAAUCAUCGUGACAGGUAUGAGAGGAUCUCAUUAUGGUUUAGAUUUGCAUUUCUCUGAGGCUUAGCGGCACUUCUUCCUUCAUACUCUUGGCCAUUAGCAUGUCGGUCUUUAGAGAAAUGACUUAAGUCUUUAGCUGAGCAAGGCAACAAAAACAACGAAUACUCCAUCAAACUAAGCUUCUGCAUGGCAAAGGAAACCACAGGAUGGAAAGGUAACCAAUGGAAUGGGAGAAAAUAUUUGCAAACCCUAUGUCCGAUAAGGGGUUAGUUUC
ensembl:lncRNA